CCCCGAAUAGCUCAAUUGGCAGAGCGUUUGGCUAUAAUUAUGCUGAUACCAAAAGGUUACCUUGUUCGAUCCAGGUUUCGGGGA